rnacentral:rRNA from 1 species
GAUGAACGCUGGCGGCGUGCCUAAUACAUGCAAGUCGAACGAGGUCUUCGGACCUAGUGGCGAACGGGUGAGUAACACGUUGGUACCUACCCCGAAGUGGGGAAUAGCUGCCCGAAAAGGUGGCUAAUACCGCAUAAUACCGCAAGGUUAAAGCAGUAAUGCGCUUCGGGAGGGGCCUGCGUCCCAUUAGCUAGUUGGUAGGGUAAUGGCCUACCAAGGCGACGAUGGGUAGCUGGAUCGAGAGGUUGACCAGCCACACUGGGACUGAGAUACGGCCCAGACUCCUACGGGAGGCAGCAGUAAGGAAUCUUCCACAAUGGACGAAAGUCUGAUGGAGCAACGCCGCGUGCAGGAUGACGGCCUUCGGGUUGUAAACUGCUUUUAUACGGGAAGAUUAUGACGGUACCGUAUGAAUAAGGACCGGCUAACUACGUGCCAGCCGCCGCCGUAA